rnacentral:rRNA from 1 species
CAGCAUGAAGUCAGACAA